AUUGGUUGCCAGGGAUCCUCAAGAUGAGGUCUACUAAGCUGCAUGGGACCAGACCUCAGAACCUCUUGUCUUUUGCCAUGACUUGGUAACUGUGUCUGAAACUCCUUAGGCGGCCUGCAAAGGCCCUGCUCAUGCUGAAAAAUCCCCGGAGAGAAGUUAGCCGACGCCAGGAGAGAGACCUCCGCCAUGCUACUGUGAUGAAUUGAGUCGGAAUUGAGGCUUUUGAGAUGGGGAUUCCUCGAUCCCCGGCCUCAAAUUGGAUCAGAAGGGGACGGGGAGGCGAUUCCUGGCCGGGAUUUGGGUGGAGAAUUUGGGGCGAGGGAGUGCGUGGUGAUCACUAGGGU
rnacentral:misc_RNA from 1 species